GCUAAACGCGAAGAACCUUACCUGGCCUUGACAUCCAUGGAAUCCCGAAGAGAUUCGGGAGUGCCGCAAGGAACCAUGAGACAGGUGCUGCAUGGCUGUCGUCAGCUCGUGUCGUGAGAUGUUGGGUUAAGUCCCGCAACGAGCGCAACCCUUGUCCUUAGUUGCCAUCAUUAAGUUGGGAACUCUAAGGAGACCGCCGGUGACAAACCGGAGGAAGGUGGGGAUGACGUCAAGUCAUCAUGGCCUUUAUGGCCAGGGCUACACACGUGCUACAAUGGCAGGUACAGAGGGAAGCCAACCGGCGACGGGGAGCUAAUCCCAGAAAGCCUGUCUUAGUCCGGAUUGCAGUCUGCAACUCGACUGCAUGAAAUUGGAAUCGCUAGUAAUCGCAGAUCAGCAUUGCUGCGGUGAAUACGUUCCCGGGUCUUGUACACACCG
rnacentral:rRNA from 1 species